CUGGUUGCUACUAGAGCCACCAUUGAAUUCACCUUCAUAACCAGUUGAUUUACGGCAACUAUUGAUUUUCAUAGCGAAAAUGAAUAUUAUAUAUUUUAUUAUCAUAUAUGUUUUCAAUUUAUUAUAAGCUGAAUUGUUCACGAAUGGUGGAAAAGAUAUUGCGUUCAGUGAUUAUGGACAAACAUGGAAACUUCACAGAACAAUUGCUUCAAAGGCAUUGCGAAAUUACUUGCAAGGAGACGCUUUAGAGCAGAGAUUAUUUGAAGCAGUAAAUGCGGCGUUUGUUGAAAUCGAUAAAGUCUCUGGUCAGUUUGAUCCCGGACAGUACAUCAAUUUUAUUGUUACCAACAUUCUGACGAGCAUGUGCUUUGGUGAAAAAUACGAUUUUAACGAUAAAGAAUUUAGUCAUCUUUUGAAAAAUGGAAGAUGUACUGAUUAAAAAAUAAAUUACAGAAGGUGUGCCUGAAGAUUUUAUACCAGGUCUAAGAUAUGUAUACAAGUCAAAAGCAUUUAAAGAAUUGGAGGGAUUAAAAGAUUGUCUAAUAGAAGGUUUCAUUAGGAGAAAAUACAAGGCAAGAGAGUCAACUUUUAACAAAGGUG